AAUAAUGUGCCUGAAUAAAGGAUUGUUUUGAUAGAACAAAUCAUGUUUUUAUAAAACCAUUAUUA
rnacentral:tRNA from 1 species